rnacentral:tRNA from 1 species
AUGGUAAUUAGUUUAAAAUAAAAUAAAUGAUUUCGACUCAUUAGAUUGUGAUUAGACUCACAACUACCAA